rnacentral:rRNA from 1 species
UGGGGAAUAUUGGACAAUGGGCGAAAGCCUGAUGGAGCGACGUCGCGUGAUGGACGAAGUGCUUCGGCACGUAAACAUCUUUUAUGUGGGAUGAAAUUAUUGACAGUACCACAUGAAUAAGGGGCUCCUAACUCUGUGCCAGCAGGAGCGGUAAUACAGAGGCCCCAAGCGUUAUCCGGAAUCACUGGGCGUAAAGGGUGUCGAGGCGGUUGUAUUAGUCGUUCGUAAAAUCUACGAGCUUAACUUGUAGGCGGCGAACGAAACGGUACGACUUGAGGUUUGGAGAGGUGCGUGGAACUCACGGUGUAGGGGUGAAAUCCGUUGAUAUCGUGGGGAACACCAAAGGCGAAGGCAGCGCACUGGCCAAAAUCUGACGCUCACACACGAAAGCUAGGGUAGCGAAGAGGAUUAGAUACCCACGUAGUCCCUGAGCGGGCUGGCAAGGCGCAU